rnacentral:rRNA from 1 species
UACGAAGGGGGCUAGCGUUGCUCGGAAUCACUGGGCGUAAAGCGCACGUAGGCGGCUUUCUAAGUCAGGGGUGAAAUCCUGGAGCUCAACUCUAGAACUGCCUUUGAUACUGGAGAGCUCGAGUCCGGAAGAGGUGAGUGGAACUCCGAGUGUAGAGGUGAAAUUCGUAGAUAUUCGGAAGAACACCAGUGGCGAAGGCGGCUCACUGGUCCGAUACUGACGCUGAGGUGCGAAAGCGUGGGGAGCAAACAGG